AAGGCAUAUAGCUCAUUGGUAGAGCAAUUCGCUCAUAACGAACUGGUAAUGGGUUCGAUUCCUAUUAUGCUGA
rnacentral:tRNA from 1 species